ensembl:lncRNA
GAGAUAUUACAAUGUCUGUAUGGUUGUGGACUUAUGGAGAUAUUACAAUGUCUGUAUGGUUGUGGACUAGUGCUAUGGACUAAUGGAGAUAUUGCAAUGUCUGUAUGGUUGUGGACUAGUGCUAUGGACUAAUGGAGAUAUUGCAAUGUCUGUAUGGUUGUGGACUAGUGCUAUGGACUAAUGGAGAUAUUACAAUGUCUGUAUGGUUGUGGACUAAUGGAGAUAUUACAAUGUCUGUAUGGUUGUGGACUAAUGGAGAUAUUACAAUGUCUGUAUGGUUGUGGACUAAUGGAGAUAUUACAAUGUCUGUAUGGUUGUGGACUAGAGCUAUGGACUAAUGGAGAUAUUACAAUGUCUGUACAUGUAGAUGGUGAAGAUACAAGGUUUUCUGUUUCUGUGGAUGUUUUAUUCUGUGACCUCACCGUGCAGGAAAACCUCUAGAUCGUAGGUCCUGGAGAAACUCCUAUGCUUGUGAUCUACCCCAGCGUUUCUCCGACUAAUCAGAGCUUGAUGAUGCGAUGGGCUAAUAACCAAUAGGCUGAUCUGUCCUCACUGAACCCACGUACAGUGUGUGAGGUCGAGGGCGUCAUCAUGAGAAGGGCCCAGAGGAUUUCCUGACUACGUUAACUAACCAGGAACGACUCUGCAAUCCCAUUGUUCUUAACUAACACCAGCUAAAGGCCUGGGCCUGUAUUCACAAAGUGUCUCCUGAGUGGCGCAGUGGUCUAAGAUGCAUCACUACAGACACCCUGGUUCGAAUCCAGGCUGUAUCACAACCGGCUGUGAUUGGGAGUCCCACAGGGCGGUGCACAAUUGGCUCAGUGUCGUCCGGGGAAGGCCGUCAUUGUAAAUAAAAAUAUGUUCUUAACUGUCUUGCCUAGUUAAAUAAAGGUUUAAGAGUAUGAAUGCUGAUCUAGGAUCAGGUCCUCCCUGUCCAUGUGAUCUAAUUUGUUAUGUUCUGAAAGGCAAACCUGAUUCUAGAGCGCUCCUGCUCCUAUUCUUAGACAUAUUGAGAAUACGGGCCCUGGGUAGGUCCCAUGGGCAGGAUAAACUCCUGUCUCUAGCCUACUCAUGACGUGAUAUCUCCAUGAUGUGUAGAAUGUACAUACCAAGUUCUAAAACAGAAGAAAAGGAAUGAAAUAUGUUGUUCUGUGUUCCGUUAGAAGUCGACAUGAUUCGAAAGAUUCUAAUGAUUAAAAGAGAUGACCAACUGACCAUCAAGACUGUUCUCUCUUUCUGCAUCCUGAAGGUCACCUUAUUCUCUAUCUAGUGCACUACUUUUGACACAGAGCCCUAUUCCCUAUAAAGUACACUACUUUUGACUAGAACCCUAUUCCUUAUAUAGUGCACUACUUUUGGCACAGAACCCUAUUUCCUAUAUAGUGCACUACUUUUGCACAGAACCCUAUUCCCUAUAUAGUGCACUACUUCUGACACAGAGCCCUAUGGGCUACAGUGAAGGGGGUUCACUUUGGGACACAACCUCUGUCAUCAGGUGGUUUAAACAAAGGCUUGAACACCAAUCAGUUGUUUAUAUGUACACUUACGUAUAAUUCUACACAAUUGUUUCACCAACCAUUCACCAAUGAUUGAUUGUUUGUUUCCUCUGAGGUCCUCAUUACAAUGCUAUUAUAAUGAUCUCAAUGUGGUGGAAUGGAAACCUGCUUCAUUCUUUCUGUGUCAGCGGUUGACUUCACCUGAAGAGGAAGACGAGCAGGACUUUAUUACACACUGGCUGAUUCAGCGUCGCUUCCGCGUCAUUUCAAUGACUUUGAGUCGACGUGGAAUAGACGUGGAAUAGACGUGGAAUAGACGUUGAAUAGACUUGGAAUAGACGUGGAAUAGACUUGGAAUAGAC